CGCUUGCGGCGUGCCUAAGAAAUGCAAGUCGAACGGGGGCUUCGGCCCUAGUGGCGAACGGUCGCGUAACACGUAAGCAACCUGCCCUGAAGUGGGGGACAACAUCCCGAAAGGGGUGCUAAUACCGCAUGUGGUCACGAGUCGGCAUCGGCUUGUGUCUAAAGAUUUAUCGCUUCAGGAUGGGCUUGCGGCCUAUCAGGUAGUUGGUGGGGUAAUGGCCUACCAAGCCGACGACGGGUAGCUGGUCUGAGAGGACGAUCAGCCGGAUUGGGACUGAGAUACGGCCCAGACUCCUACGGGGGGCAGCAAUUAGGAAUCUUGCGCAAUGGGGGGAACCCUGACGCAGCGACGUCGCGUGAAGGAUGAAGGUCCUCGGAUCGUAAACUUCUUUUGAGUGGAAGAAAU
rnacentral:rRNA from 1 species